rnacentral:rRNA from 1 species
AACAGCGAAGAGUUUGAUCCUGGCUCAGGAUGAACGCUAGCGGCAGGCUUAACACAUGCAAGUCGAGCGGCAGCGGGGGAGGAGCUUGCUCCU